rnacentral:tRNA from 1 species
GCCGGGUACGGAGGCUGGUGCUUCCGGUGGCUUCAUAUCCCACAUCAGGCAGGUUCGAUUCCUGCACCCGGUA